rnacentral:rRNA from 1 species
UACGGGGGGGGCAAGCGUUGUUCGGAAUUACUGGGCGUAAAGGGCUCGUAGGCGGCCAACUAAGUCGGACGUGAAAUCCCCAGGCUCAACCUGGGAACUGCGUCCGAUACUGGAUGGCUUGAAUCCGGGAGAGGGAUGCAGAAUUCCAGGUGUAGCGGUGAAAUGCGUAGAUAUCUGGAGGAAUACCGGUGGCGAAGGCGGCAUCCUGGACCGGCAUUGACGCUGAGGAACGAAAGCCAGGGUAGCGAACGGG